rnacentral:ncRNA from 1 species
AAUCCUGUGAAAAGCACAAUCGCCUGCCAGUGGAAUGCCUUUUAUGUUCAGUCAAUCUACAGAGAGUGAAUCGGUCCCUAAAGAACCCCCAAAAGGGGUACCGUUCGAUGGGUAGUUUAUCUAGGGCGGGUGCCUCUUAAAGAAUAAUGGAGGUGUGCGAAGGUAGGCUCAAGCUAAGAUUCUGCUCGUGAGCAUAAUGGUAUAAGUCUGCCUGACUAUGAGACCGACUGGUUGAACAAAGACGAAAAUCAACCAUAGUGAUCCGGGAGUCCCGUGGGAAGGGCUCUCGCUCAACGGAUCAAAGGUACAACAAGGAUAACAGGCUAAUGACUCCCAAGAGCUCUUAUUGACGGAGUCAUUUGGCACCUCGAUCUCAACUCAUCACAUCCUGGGGUUGAAGAAGGUCCCAAGGGUUCGGUUGUUCAUCGAUUCAAGUGGUACGUGAGUUUGGUUUAGAAUGUCAUGAGACAGUUCGAUUCCUAUCUACCGUUAGUGUUAAAGGGAGAAUUGCGAGGAGCCAACCCUAGUACAAGAGGACUAGGUUGGGCUAACCUAUGGUGUACCAGUUGUUAUGCUAAUAGCACUGCUGGGGAACUAAGUUAGUAUGGAAGAACUACUGUGCCAUAGGAAACCUUCUCUAUACAAGUUCUUGGACAAGGUUUUUGAACCGAACUUCGAUGGGCAAGAGGUGUAAGCACCGCAAGGUGUGAAGCGAUCUCAUACUACAUG